GAUGAACGCUGGCGGCGUGCCUAAUACAUGCAAGUCGAGCGAACAGAUAAGGAGCUUGCUCCUUUGACGUUAGCGGCGGACGGGUGAGUAACACGUGGGCAACCUACCUAUAAGACUGGAAUAACUCCGGGAAACCGGGGCUAAUGCCGGAUAAUAUUUAGAACCGCAUGGUUCUAAAGUGAAAGAUGGUUUUACUAUCACUUAUAGAUGGACCCGCGCCGUAUUAGCUAGUUGGUGGGGUAAUGGCUUACCAAGGCAACGAUACGUAGCCGACCUGAGAGGGUGAUCGGCCACACUGGAACUGAGACACGGUCCAGACUCCUACGGGAGGCAGCAGUAGGAAAUCUUCCGCAAUGGGCGAAAGCCUGACGGAGCAACGCCGCGUGAGUGAUGAAGGUCUUCGGAUCGUAAAACUCUGUUAUUAGGGAAGAACAAAUGUGUAAGUAACUGUGCACGUCUUGACGGUACCUAAUCAGAAAGCCACGGCUAACUACGUGCCAGCAGCCGCAGUAA
rnacentral:rRNA from 1 species